rnacentral:rRNA from 1 species
UCGGGAAUUUUGGGCAAUGGGCGAAAGCCUGACCCAGCAACGCCGCGUGAAGGAUGAAGUAUUUCGGUAUGUAAACUUCGUAAGAAUAGGAAGAAUAAAUGACGGUACUAUUUGUAAGGUCCGGCUAACUACGUGCCAGCAGCCGCGGUAAUACGUAGGGACCAAGCGUUGUUCGGAUUUACUGGGCGUAAAGGGCGCGUAGGCGGUGUGUCAAGUCAGUUGUGAAAUCUCCGAGCUUAACUCGGAACGGUCAACUGAUACUGUCACACUAGAGUACAGAAGGGGCAAUCGGAAUUCUUGGUGUAGCGGUGAAAUGCGUAGAUAUCAAGAGGAACACCUGAGGCGAAGGCGGGUUGCUGGGCUGAUACUGACGCUGAGGCGCGAAAGCUAGGGUAGCAAACGGGAUUAGAU